rnacentral:rRNA from 1 species
AUCCAAGGAAGGCAGCAGGCGCGCAAAUUACCCACUCCCGGAACGGGGAGGUAGUGACGAAAAAUAACAAUACGGGACUCUUUUGAGACCCCGUAAUUGGAAUGAGUACACUCUAAAUCCUUUAACCAGGAUCCAUCUGAGGGCAAGUCUGGUGCCAGCAGCCGCGGUAAUUCCAGCUCCGAUAGCGUAUAUUAAAGUUGUUGCGGUUAAAAAGCUCGUAGUUGGAUCUCAGUUCCAGACGGGCGGUCCGCCUACCGGUGGUCACUGCCUGUUCUGAACAGCCAGCCGGUUUCUCUUGAUGAUCUUCACCGGUUGUCUUGGGUGACCGGCAAGUUUACUUUGAAAAAAUUAGAGUGCUCAAAGCAGGCGCGACGCCUGGAUAAUGGUGCAUGGAAUAAUGGAAUAGGACCUCGGUUCUAUUUUGUUGGUUUACGGAACGCGAGGUAAUGAUUAAGAGGGACAGACGGGGGCAUUAGUAUUGCGACGCUAGAGGUGAAAUUCUUGGAUCGUCGCACGACUGACCACUGCGAAAGCAUUUGCCAAGAAUGUUUCCAUUAAUCAAGAACGAAAGUUAGAGGUUCGAAGGCGAUCAGAUACCGCCCUAGUUCUAACCAUAAACGAUGUCAGCCAGCGAUCCGGCUGUGUUCCUCAAAUGACACGCCGGGCAGCUUCCGGGAAACCAAAGCUUUUGGAUUCCGGGGGGAGUAUGGUUGCAAAGCUCAAACUUAAAGGAAUUGACGGAAGCGCACCACCAGGAAUGGAGCCUGCGGCUUAAUUUGACUCAACACGGGAAAGCUUACCCUGUCAGGACACAGGAAGGAUUGACAGAUUAAGAGCUCUUUCUUGAUUCUGUGGAUGGUGGUGCAUGGCCGUUCUUAGUCGGUGGAGCGAUUUGUCUGGUCAAUUCCGAUAACGGGCGAGACUCUAUCCUGCUAAAUAGGCGUCCCGAUCAUCUGCGUCGGGCGCUCUUCUUAGAGGGACAGGCGGCGUCUAGCCGCACGAGACAGAGCAAUAACAGGUCUGUGAUGCCCUUAGAUGUCCGGGGCCGCACGCGCGCUACAUUGAAGGAACCAGCGUGUGCUUUCCCUGUCCGACAGGACUGGGUAACCCGUUGAAACUCCUUCGUGCUGGGGAUAGGGGCUUGAUAUUGUUCCCCUUGAACGAGGAAUUCCCAGUAAGCGCGAGUCAUAAGCUCGCGCUGAUUACGUCCCUGCGCUUUGUACACACCGCCCGUCGCUACAACCGAUCGAAUGAUUUAGUGAGGUCCUCAGACUGGCUCCCGGAGCGGCCCUCGGGUCGCGCCGGCGUGCCGGAAAGAUGUCCGAACUUGAUCAUUUAGAGGAUGUAAA